rnacentral:rRNA from 1 species
ACGUAGGGUGCAAGCGUUAAUCGGAAUUACUGGGCGUAAAGCGUGCGCAGGCUGUUUUGUAAGUCAGAUGUGAAAUCCCCGAGCUCAACUUGGGAACUGCGUUUGAAACUACAAGACUAGAAUAGGUCAGAGGGGGGUAGAAUUCCACGUGUAGCAGUGAAAUGCGUAGAGAUGUGGAGGAAUACCAAUGGCGAAGGCAGCCCCCUGGGAUCAUAUUGACGCUCAUGCACGAAAGCGUGGGGAGCGAACAGG